AGUGAACGCUGGCGGGAGGAAGAAAAAAGGAAAGUAGAAAGGAAGCACAGUAAGAGCUUGCUCUUACGGGUGGCGAGUGGCGGACGGGUGAGGAAUACAUCGGAAUCUACUUUUUCGUGGGGGAUAACGUAGGGAAACUUACGCUAAUACCGCAUACGACCUACGGGUGAAAGCAGGGGAUCUUCGGACCUUGCGCGAUUGAAUGAGCCGAUGUCGGAUUAGCUAGUUGGCGGGGUAAAGGCCCACCAAGGCGACGAUCCGUAGCUGGUCUGAGAGGAUGAUCAGCCACACUGGAACUGAGACACGGUCCAGACUCCUACGGGAGGCAGCAGUGGGGAAUAUUGGACAAUAGGCGCAAGCCUGAUCCAGCCAUACCGCGUGGGUGAAGAAGGCCUUCGGGUUGUAAAGCCCUUUUGUUGGGAAAGAAAAGCAGCAGGUUAAUACCCCGCUGUUCUGACGGUACCCAAAGAAUAAGCACCGGCUAACUUCGUA
rnacentral:rRNA from 1 species